rnacentral:rRNA from 1 species
UACAGAGGUCUCAACCGUUGUUCGGAUUCAUUGGGCGUAAAGGGUGCGUAGGCGGUCGCGCAAGUCGGAUGUGAAAUCUCAGGGCUCAACCCUGAAACUGCAUUCGAUACUGCGUGGCUAGAGUGCUGGAGAGGAGACUGGAAUUUUACGGUGUAGCAGUGGAAAUGCGUAGAUAUCGUAAGGAAGACCAGUGGCGAAGGCGAGUCUCUGGACACAUAUUGACGCUGAGGUGCGAAAGCGUGGGGAGCAAACAGG